rnacentral:rRNA from 1 species
CCCUUAGAUGUCCUGGGCCGCACGCGUGCUACACUGAUACGUGCAACAAGUUUUUCUCCUGGCUCGGAAGAGUUCGGGUAAUCUUGAUAAUGCGUAUCGUGCUAGGGAUAGAUCUUUGAAAUUAUGGAUCUUGAACGAGGAAUUCCUAGUAAGCAUAAGUCAUCAGCUUGUGCUGAUUACGUCCCUGCCCUUUGUACACACCGCCCGUCGCUGCUACCGAUUUUGAGUGAUCCGGUGAACCUUCUGGACCGUAUUCGGGCUUGACCCGGACGUGGGAAAUUAAGUAAACCUUAUCACUUAGAGGAAGCAGAAGUCGUAACA